UACCCACUCCCGGCACGGGGAGGUAGUGACGAAAAAUAACGAUACGGGACUCAUCCGAGGCCCCGUAAUCGGAAUGAGUACACUCUAAACCCUUUAACGAGGAUCAAUUGGAGGGCAAGUCUGGUGCCAGCAGCCGCGGUAAUUCCAGCUCCAAUAGCGUAUAUUAAAGUUGUUGCGGUUAAAAAGCUCGUAGUCGAAUUUGUGUCUCGCGCCGCCGGUUCACCGCUCGCGGUGCCCAACUGGCGUGUCGCGGGACGUCCUGCCGGUGGGCUUCGCUCGUCGCCCUCGGGUUGGCGGGCGGCCCAACUUAGUAUCCCAUCGCGGUGCUCUUUACUGAGUGUCGGGAUGGGCCGGCACGUUUACUUUGAACAAAUUAGAGUGCUUAAAGCAGGCUCAAAAUUCGCCUGAAUAUUCUGUGCAUGGAAUAAUGGAAUAGGACCUCGGUUCUAUUUUGUUGGUUUUCGGAACCCCGAGGUAAUGAUUAAUAGGAACGGAUGGGGGCAUUCGUAUUGCGACGUUAGAGGUGAAAUUCUUGGAUCGUCGCAAGACGGACGGAAGCGAAAGCAUUUGCCAAAAACGUUUUCAUUGAUCAAGAACGAAAGUUAGAGGUUCGAAGGCGAUCAGAUACCGCCCUAGUUCUAACCAUAAACGAUGCCAGCUAGCGAUCCGCCGACGUUCCUCCGAUGACUCGGCGGGCAGCUUCCGGGAAACCAAAGCUUUUGGGUUCCGGGGGAAGUAUGGUUGCAAAGCUGAAACUUAAAGGAAUUGACGGAAGGGCACCACCAGGAGUGGAGCCUGCGGCUUAAUUUGACUCAACACGGGAAACCUCACCAGGCCCGGACACCGGAAGGAUUGACAGAUUGAGAGCUCUUUCUUGAUUCGGUGGGUGGUGGUGCAUGGCCGUUCUUAGUUGGUGGAGCGAUUUGUCUGGUUAAUUCCGAUAACGAACGAGACUCUAGCCUGCUAACUAGGCGUACUUUCGACAUCUCAAAGGCCCCACGGCCCGGCGCGCUUGCGUCGCGGUCGCGCGCGGUUUUUACUGUCGGCGUACAAUCAAUUCUUCUUAGAGGGACAGGCGGCGUCUAGCCGCACGAGAUUGAGCAAUAACAGGUCUGUGAUGCCCUUAGAUGUUCUGGGCCGCACGCGCGCUACACUGAAGGAACCAGCGUGUCCUCCCUGGCCGAGAGGCCCGGGUAACCCGCUGAACCUCCUUCGUGCUAGGGAUUGGGGCUUGCAAUUGUUCCCCAUGAACGAGGAAUUCCCAGUAAGCGCGAGUCAUAAGCUCGCGUUGAUUACGUCCCUGCCCUUUGUACACACCGCCCGUCGCUACUACCGAUUGAAUGAUUUAGUGAGGUCUUCGGACCGGUACGCGGCGACGCUUCGGCGCCGCCGAUGAUGCUGGGAAGA
rnacentral:rRNA from 1 species